CUCGUAGCGAUACUGACGUGCAAAUCGUUCGUCAGACUUGGGUAUAGGGGCGAAAGACUAAUCGAACCAUCUAGUAGCUGGUUCCCUCCGAAGUUUCCCUCAGGAUAGCUAGAGUCUUUAUCAGUUUUGUCAGGUAAAGCGAAUGAUUAGAGGUUCCGGGGAAGUAACUUCCUCGACCUAUUCUCAAACUUUAAAUGGGCAAGAUCCAGUAGUUACUUAAUUGAACUAUUGGGGUCAAUGAGACGACUCUAAGUGGGCCAUUUUUGGUAAGCAGAACUGGCGAUGAGGGAUGAACCUAACGCUCGGUUAAGGUGCUAAACUGCUCGCUCAUCAGAUACCACAAAGGGUGUUGGUCGAUCUUAACAGCAGGACGGUGGUCAUGGAAGUCGAAAUCCGCUAAGGAGUGUGUAACAACUCACCUGCCGAAUCGACUAGCCCCGAAAAUGGAUAGCGCUGAAGCGAGUGACCGAUACCGGGCCAUUGUUGCAAGAUAAUUGGCAACAAUGAGUAGGAGGGCGUGGGGGUUGUGAAGAAGCUUGGACGUGAGUCUGAGUGAAACAGCUUCCAGUGCAGAUCUUGGUGGUAGUAGCAAGUAUUCAAUAAGAGAACAUUGAAGGCCGAAGUGGGGAAGGGUUCCAUGUGAACAGCACUUGGACAUGGGUUAGCCGAUCCUGAGAGACAGGUUAAAUUCCAUCGGAUUGGAGCUUUGGCUCUGUUUCUCGAAAGGGAAGCUGGUUAGUAUUCCAGCGCCGAGACGUGGAUAAUAUGUGGCAACACAAGUGAACUCGGACACGCCAUAGGGACCCCAGGAAGCGUUGUCUUUUCUUUUAACAGUUCGACUUACCCUGGAAUCAGAUCAUCUGGAGAUAGGGUUUCGAACUGGAUAGCACCUUGUCUACAGGUGUCUGGAGUGUCUCGCUGGCCCUUGAAAUCGAGGGAUAGAUUAUCGCACUCUCGAUCGUACCAUAACCGCAUCAGUCUCCAGUUAGAGCCUCUGGUC
rfam:Perkinsus marinus ATCC 50983 gcontig_1104296786178, whole genome shotgun sequence.